rnacentral:rRNA from 1 species
AGUGAACGCUGGCGGUAGGCCUAACACAUGCAAGUCGAACGGCAGCACAGUAAGAGCUUGCUCUUACGGGUGGCGAGUGGCGGACGGGUGAGGAAUACAUCGGAAUCUACUUUUUCGUGGGGGAUAACGUAGGGAAACUUACGCUAAUACCGCAUACGACCUACGGGUGAAAGCAGGGGAUCUUCGGACCUUGCGCGAUUGAAUGAGCCGAUGUCGGAUUAGCUAGUUGGCGGGGUAAAGGCCCACCAAGGCGACGAUCCGUAGCUGGUCUGAGAGGAUGAUCAGCCACACUGGAACUGAGACACGGUCCAGACUCCUACGGGAGGCAGCAGUGGGGAAUAUUGGACAAUGGGCGCAAGCCUGAUCCGGCCAUACCGCGUGGGCGAAGAAGGCCUUCGGGUUGUAAAGCCCUUUUGUUGGGAAAGAAAAGCAGCAGGUUAAUACCCCGCUGUUCUGACGGUACCCAAAGAAUAAGCACCGGCUAACUUCGUG